rnacentral:rRNA from 1 species
GACGAACGCUGGCGGCGUGCUUAACACAUGCAAGUCGAACGGAAAGGCCCUGCUUUUGUGGGGUGCUCGAGUGGCGAACGGGUGAGUAACACGUGAGUAACCUGCCCUUGUCUUUGGGAUAACUUCAGGAAACUGGGGCUAAUACCGGAUAGGAGCUCCUGCUGCAUGGUGGGGGUUGGAAAGUUUCGGCGGUUGGGGAUGGACUCGCGGCUUAUCAGCUUGUUGGUGGGGUAGUGGCUUACCAAGGCUUUGACGGGUAGCCGGCCUGAGAGGGUGACCGGCCACAUUGGGACUGAGAUACGGCCCAGACUCCUACGGGAGGCAGCAGUGGGGAAUAUUGCACAAUGGGCGGAAGCCUGAUGUAGCAACGCCGCGUGCGGGAUGACGGCCUUCGGGUUGUAAACCGCUUUCGCCUGUGACGAAGCGUGAGUGACGGUAAUGGGUAAAGAAGCACCGGCUAACUACGUG